CCAGCUAACAAGAAGCAGCAGCCAGAAACUGGACAACAUUGCAAACAUAAAAAGAACAGUCAAAUCUAUGCGUUAUCUCUGUGGAAAGAAAGAGGCAUACCUCAGGAGAUUUUGUGACUUUGGUUCCAGAUCACUGCAAUAAAGAGAAUAUCACAAUAAAGCAUUUAUCACUAGGAACUUUCAUCUUAGAAUGGCUCUGCUGCAUCCCAUAAGUUUUGGUCUAACUUUGGGAGCCCACCUGCAAGACUGCCUCCUGAAAUGAGACACAACUGUUUAACUGAACUGACCUACUUCAAGACUAAUACUGGUUCAAUGAGAUAGAUAUGGAGGAGAAGUCUUUCAACUCAACUUCUGUACUAUGAAAUUCCUUGAAGAAAUUUCAACAGCUGGGCUGGAGGUGAACAGAAUACGCCACCCUGAAAUAUGCCUCUUUGGCAUAUGGAUUUUCUUGAGCUGGUUACUUUUAAGAAACAGCAGACACAGGAGAAGCUCUGAAAACCAGUAGAAGUUAUGCUUUUGUAAGAGACAUUCACAUUAAUAAGUAGAAAAGAAAUUUCGGUUGCUAUUUGCCUUUGAAUGGCAAGACUCCAAUUCCAAAACAAGAAGUCAAUACUGCUGGAUGGUGCUGCCACAAGGAUUUAAAAAUUCCCUCACCCUCUUCAACGAGACUUUGGCUAAAGAUUUAUGAGGAUUAUACGUGGAUCAAGGUUGAGUAGAGGCCUUCCCAGCCAGAAUGGAAAAAGCAUCAGAAGUGACAACAGCCCUUCUUAAGGACAUUAUUCCUAGGUACGGCCUUCCCUCUACUAUUCAGAGUGACAAUGGAUCUGCUUUUGUCACAGAAAUAACACAAACAGUAAAUAAAGCUUUAGGUAUAAAAUGGAAACUUCAUUCAUCAUGGAGACCCCAAUCUACAGGAAAGGCCGAGAAGAUGAAUCACACCCUGAAGAAAACUCUCACCAAGCUAUGGAGGAAACUCAUCUAAAAUGGGACAAGGUCUUGCCAAUUGCUCUCCUCCAUAUACAGUUGGCCCCUAGAAGCAGGCUAGGAUUGAGCCCUUACAAAAUUAUAUAUGGGAGACAAUUCUUAGCUUCUAAGAGUAAAGAAAGAGAAACGUUUCUCAUGCAGGAGGUAAAAAUUAAACAGUAUGUACAACAGAUUGACCAACUGUUAACUGCUACUCAUGAGUUUGUGUCCCAGAGGUCUCCCCCUCACCUGGAAGUUCCCUUGCAUCCCUUCAAAGCAGAAUACUGGGUGCCGCUGGAAAUGUGGAAAGAGCAAGGACCUGAGCAGCAGCUUGAAGAGAAAUGGAAGGGACCCUAUGACAUUCUUCUUACUACUCAUGCCUCUCAAAUUGUAUGGAAUAAAACCAUGGGUACAUCACACUAGAGUAAAAAGAUUAUCAGAGACUGACCAGCCAGGCCUGCCUAUAGCCAGUGAGCAGAUUCCCAAGAAGUGGACAUCUCACCUUUUGGGAAACCUUAAGUAUUUGUUCUGGCAAGUGAAAUGAAAGUUCUGUUUUCUUAUCCUUUCUCAUACCUUUUACCUUUCCCCACAAAACUAUAGAUUCAUAUGCUGAUUCUUUCAGUAAUUCUAACUGCUGGAUAUGUGGUCAGCUUCCUAUUUCUGGGUCUUCAGGAUUGCCUUGGUGGGUUUGCCCCCUUACAGGGAAUGGUGUGGAAAUAACUGGCAACAAGUCUCCCCAAACCAGUUCCAGACUGGGUUUCAGACUUAUUUUCCUGAAUUCCUAAGAGAAUGAGACAUAUUUUUGUCUACUAAAGUUCCAAUUGUCACUUCUCCUACCUCUAACUGGGUCUGUUGUGCCAAAAAUGGCAGACAAAGAAAUUGAGAUCUUAAUCAUACAAAACUCAGAUCUAGGACUUGGACCUCAAAUAUUUCUAAUUCAGUAUCCAUUCCCCCAAAUUUAGGCAGACUACACCCUAUUUCAGCAGGAAGUAGCCAGAGCAAUCAUUGCCCUGUCCCUGAAAGAUUUGGGGAAAGAUAAAAUCUAAGUGGGGAUUAAAACCAAGUCUCCCUAAAACAGAGUUCCUCUGCCAAGUUUAUGAUUAACAUCUCUAUCCAAAAUGAUUAUUCAUUUUCUUGUCCAACAUCUGUUCUCCUCAAGAUUGAGGAGUAUCAAAGAAAAAGGGAGAGUGAAACUGAGCAGGACCCUGUUGUCUCCUGGGCACAGAAGCCUGUCUGUGUCUCCUGUUUCUUGUUUGUAGGGAAUAGACUCUAGCCUCCAUGACCUUCCCUGAGUUCCAAAGAGCCGAUUUGAACAGCUGCUAAUCAGGAGGGGAUGCAGAGACAAGGGAGGAGCACCAAGAAACAAUAGUGCAGCCUUGGGGCAGGGUUUUGGUUCCAUCUUAAGGGAUAACAAUAUCUUUGAGCUAUUUACAGAACUAAAACCCCCAACAAAUGGAAGAUGUCAGCGUUCUUUAUUCC